rnacentral:rRNA from 1 species
CCCUGCCUUUUGUACACACCGCCCGUCGCACCUACCGAUUGAAUGGUCCGGUGAAAUCUUCGGACCACGACAUUGACUUGUUCACUCAAGAUGAUGUCGCGGGAAGUUGAUUAAACCUUACCAUUUAG